GUGCCAGCAGCCGCGGUAAUACGAAGGGUGCAAGCGUUACUCGGAAUUACUGGGCGUAAAGCGUGCGUAGGUGGUUUGUUAAGUCUGAUGUGAAAGCCCUGGGCUCGACCUGGGAAUUGCACUGGAUACUGGCAGGCUAGAGUGCGGUAGAGGAUGGCGGAAUUCCUGGUGUAGCAGUGAGAUGCGUAGAGAUCAGGAGGAACAUCCGUGGCGAAGGCGGCCAUCUGGACCAGCACUGACACUGAGGCACGAAAGCGUGGGGAGCAAACAGGAUUAGAAACCCGCGUAGUCC
rnacentral:rRNA from 1 species